rnacentral:lncRNA from 1 species
GGGGGGGGUUGUAUCAUUUGAUUUACACAACAUGCCAACCACUUUGAAGAUACAAAAUAUAUUUUUUUGUGAAACAAAGAAAUAAUAAAAAAAUAAUAAUAACUUGAACGUGCAUAACUAUUCACCCCCCCAAAGUCAAUACUUUGUAGAGCCACUUUUUGCAGCAUUUACAGCUACAAGUCUCUUGGGGUAUGUCUCUAUAAGCUUGGCACAUCUAGCCACUGGGAUUUUUGCUCAUUCUUCAAGGCAAAACUGCUCCAGCUCCUUCAAGUUGGAUGGGUUCCGCUGGUGUACAGCAAUCUUUAAGUCAUACCACAGAUUCUCAAUUGGUUUGAGGUUUGGGCUUUGACUAGGCCAUUCCAAGACAUUUAAAUGUUUCCCCUUAAACCAAUCAGGUGUUGUUUUAGCAGUACACUUAGGAUCAUUGUCCUGAAGGUGAACCUCUGUCCCAGUCUCAAAUCUCAGGCAAGACUGAAACAGGUUUCCCCUCAAGAAUUUCCCUAUAUUUAGCGCCACCCAUCAUUCCUUCAAUUCUGACCAGUUUCCCUGUCCCUGCUGAUGAAAAACAUCCCAACAGCAUGAUGCUGCCACCAUGCUUCACUGUGGGGAUGAUGUUCUCGGGGUGAUGAGAGGUGUUGGGUUUGCUCCAGACAUAGCGUUUAUCUUGAUGGCCAAAAAGCUCAGUUUUAGUCUAAUCUGACCAGAGUAUCUUGUUCCAUAUGUUUGGGGAGUCUCCCACAUCCCUUUUGGCGAACACCAAACAUGCUUGCUUCUUUUUUUCUUUAAGCAAUGGCUUUUUUCUGGCCACUCUUCCGUAAAGCCCAGCUCUGUCGAGUGUACGGCUUAAAGGGGUCCUAUGGACAGAUCUCCGCUGUGGAGCUUUGCAGCUCCUUCAAGGUUAUCCUUGGUCUCUUUGUUGCCUCUCUGGUUAAUGCCCUCCUUGCCUGGUCCGUGAGUUUUGGUGGGCGGCCCUCUCUUGGCAGGUUUGUUGUGGUGCCAUAUUCUUUCCAUUUUUUAAUAAUGGAUUUAAUGGCGCUCUGUGGGAUGUUCAAAGUUCCGGAUAUUUUUUUAGAACCCAACCCUGAUCUGUACUUCUCCACUACUUUGUCCCUGACCAGUUUGGAGAGACUUCCUUGGUCUUCAUGUUGCCCCUUGCUUAGUGGUGUUGUAGACUCUGGGGCCUUUCAGAAAAGGUAUAUGUAUAUAUAUAUAUAUAUAUAUGAGAUCAUAUAACAGAUCAUGUGAGACUUAAAUAAAGUCCACCUGUGUGCAAUCUAACUAAUUACGUGACUUCUGAAGGUAAUUAGUUGCACCAGGUCUUAUUUAAGGGCUUCAUAGCAAAGGGAAUACAUAUGCAUGCAUCACUUCUCCAUUUUGAUUUUUUAUACGUUUUUGAAACAAGUUAUCUUUUCAUUUCACUUCACCAAUUUGGACUAUUUUUGUGUAUGUCCAUUACAUGAAAUCCAAACUAAAAUCUAUUUAAAUUACAGGUUGUAAUGAUACAAAAUAGGAAAAACGCCAAGGGGGAUGAAUACAUUUGCAAGGCACUGUAGUUUGGAGCUGUGCUUUGGGUCAUUGUCCUGUUGUAGGAUGAAAUUGGCUCCAGUUAAGCGCCGUCCACAGGGUAGGGCAUGGCGUUGCAAAAUGGAGUGAUAGCCUUCCUUCUUCAAGAUCCCUUUUACCCUGUACAAAUCUCCCACUUUACCAGCACCAAAGCAGCCCCAGACCAUCACAUUGGCUCCACCAUGAUGACAGAUGCAUCAAGCACUCCUCCAGCAUCUUUUCAUUUUUUCUGCGUCUCACGAAUGGUCUUCUUUGUGAUCCGAACACCUCAAACUUAGAUUCGUCUGUCCAUAACACUUUUUUCCAACCAUCGUCUGUUAUUUUGCCCAUCUUAAUCUUUUAUUUUUAUAGGCCAGUCUGAGAUAUGGCUUUUUCUUUGCAACUCUGCCUAGAAGGCCAGCAUCCCGGAGUCGCCUCUUCACUGUUGACGUUGAGAAUGGUGUUUUGAAGGUACUAUUUAAUGAAGCUGCCAGUUGAGGACUUGUGAGGCGUCUGUUUCUCAAACUAGACACUCUAAUGUACUUGUCCUCUUGCUCAGUUGUGCACCGGGGCCUCCCACUCCUCUUUCUAUUCUGGUUAGAGCCAGUUUGCUCUGUUCUGUGAAGGGAGUAGUACAAGGCGUUGUACAAGAUCUUCAGUUUCUUGGCAAUUUCUCGCAUGGAAUAGCCUUCAUUUCUUAGAACAAGAAUAGACUGACGAGUUUCAGAAGAAAGUUAUUUGUUUCUGGCCAUUUUGAGCCUGUAAUUGAACCAACAAAUGCUGAUGCUCCAGAUACUCAACUAGUCUUAUUGCCUCUAAUCAGAACAACAGUUUUCAGCUGUGCUAACAUAAUUGCAAAACGGUUUUCUAAUGAUCAAUUAGCCUUUUAAAAUGAUGAACUUGGAUUAGCUAACACAACGUGCCAUUGGAACACAGGAGUGAUGGUUGCUGAUAAUGGGCCUCUGUACGCCUAUGUAGAUACUCCAUUAAAACUCAGCUGUUUCCAGCUACAAUAGUCAUUUACAACAUUAACAAUGUCUACACUGUAUUUCUGAUCAAUUUGAUGUUAUUUUAAUGGACAAUUUUUUUUGCUUUUCUUUCAAAAACAAGGACAUUUCUAAGUGACCCCAAACUUUUGAACGUUAGUGUGUAUGGGGAAUACAACAGAAUGUAAUAUAAAUAUGGGGAAUACAACAGGAGAAUGCUCCCAUGGCGAACGAACUCUGUGCAACACCGGCCAGUCAGAAGACAAGACGUAAUGCACAACUUUUGUUAUACUACUGUGUAUAAAAGUACCAUGUGGGUAAAAUGUAUAUGAAACAAAAAAAAAAGAAUUAUCUUGAAAGUAAGUUUGUUAGAAUUCAAAAAUAAUUUCUGAUUGAAGAAAAGGUGUGAGAAACAGGUUGAAUCCAAUAAGGUCAUGAAUGGCUGAAAACAAUAAGGUGAUGAAUGGCUGAAUACAAUAAGGUGAUGAAUGGCUGAAAACAAUAAGGUGAUGAAUGAUGUCUGCUAAAUGCCAUUAUUAUAUUCAUAUACUACAAAGUUUAACCAUCAGAAUCAUCCCUAAAGCUUCUCCCAUAAUCAUAUUCCUCUUAGCUUAUUAUACAAUUAUAAUAUUAUAUAUAUAUAUAUAUAUAUAUAUAUAUAUAUAAGGUGAUAUAUAUAUAUACACACACACACACUUAUGCAAAAAUAUGUAUUCUAUUUUAGUGAGCCAUUUACUUUAUGUUCAUAUUAUUAUCUUUUAGUGUUUCUUAUUGUUGCAUCGUCAUGAAGGAACCUGCAAGUAAGCAUUUCUUUGGACAAUGUAGUGUAUACCGUGCGUACCCCGUACAUAGGACAAAAACUUUAAACAUGGACCGACAAUAUAAUGAAUAUAUCACUGCUUUCUAACAAGUGCAGGAACCUUAAACCAAAUAUUUCAACAAAGUCUUAAGAUCAGGAGGAUUCUGAAUGUGGUGCCGGAGCGUAGCAGAUCACAUCAGGGAUGUGCUCCAAAUGGCGCCCUAUUCCCUAUUUAGUGCACUACUUUUAAUCAGGGCACGUUGGAGCUCUGGUCAAAAGUAGUGGACUAU